rnacentral:rRNA from 1 species
CGUGUUUUUGCUUUCGGGAUAUACCUGACAGCAUGCCUGAUUUGGUGCCUUAU